GACGAACCGUGCGAACGUUAUUCGGAAUCACUGGGCUUAAAGCGCGUGUAGGCGGGUGGGCGCGUCGGCCGCUGAAAGCCCCCGGCUCAACCGGGGAAGCGGCGCCGAAACGGCCGGCCUGGAGGGGGGUAGGGGGACCUGGAACUUCCGGUGGAGCGGUGAAAUGCGUUGAGAUCGGAAGGAACGCCCGUGGCGAAAGCGAGGUCCUGGACCCUUUCUGACGCUGAGACGCGAAAGCCAGGGGAGCGAACGGG
rnacentral:rRNA from 1 species